GCUCAGGGAGCCUCCCCUGUGGGUGUUUGCUCCUCCCCAGGCUGUGGCCCAUUUCCCCUUCCUCCUUCCUGCUCAGCCCAAAGGCAGGAGUCAUGGAACCCCAGGAAAGGACGGAACAGAACAGGACAGGGCCCCCAGCCCCAUCUUUAUCUCACCGGCUGCUGCUGGCUGCCAAGCCUCCCCUGAAUGGGGGAGGGUGGUCUGUGUGAGUCAGCGGAGGCACGAAGUGGAGGAAGACGGGAGCCUCUGCCAGGCCCGUUGAGCGUGGCCUCAGAAAUGCGCCGCUGGGUUAGGGUCUCCCCGACCGAGGCUCGAAUCCAGGUCGAAGGGUCGCCGGAGCGAUGGUUGGAGAAUGUGGAAGGAGCUGGAGGACACCCGAGUAUUCUUAAAGCAAUCCCCAUGAAGUUAUGCUUGUGUUUCUCCAGGCCAAAAUCAACAGCUGAUCUGGAUACCAUCAAGACACCUGAAAUCUUAUCAUGAGCCAGAUGCUGAGGAAGAGACUCCGGGAGGAUCCCGAGGACGGCCCAGUUGCAGCCAUGUUGAGACUGACGCUGAGGAGGACCCCAACUGUCACGAGCAACACCUGUCGAACACAGCCACCCACCUGGGGACAGAUCAAGAAGCUGUCACAGAUGGCAGAAGAAAACCUGAGGAAAGCGGGACAACCAGUCACAAUGAGUAAUUUCAUGGUAGCUAUGAUAGCAGUUAUCACCACUGCUUCUGCAGAUGUGGAUCCUAACUCCUGCGAGAAGUAACUCACAGUGACAAAGCUGCCUUUGCUUUUAUCGAGUUGCAAAUCAAAGAAGGGGGGACAUGUUGGGAACAGGCCCCCCAAGAUCUGGCCAUAAACUGGCCCCAAAACUGGCUAUAAACAAAAUCUGCAGCACUGUG
rnacentral:lncRNA from 1 species